AGGUCCACAAGCCCCGCGAAGGCCAAUACCUGGGUUGCUUUGUUCACCACAGCCUCGCCAGCCCUGAAUAAAGCUCAGCACAUAAUUUUCCUCAAGAGUGCUGUGGUGGCCCCACUGGAGCAGUGUGCUGGGAGGCACAAGACCCAAAGUACGGGUCCAGCUGUGUGACUGCAGACCAGACGCUUAACCUCCUGAAUCUCUCACCUUCCUGCCCAGCUCCCUCUCUCUCGCCAUCUGAGUCAGCCAGUCUGUCUGGCUUCUACCAGGUGCUGUGUGAGGUUCUAACACCAAGAUGGAGACCAGGUACCAGUCUUGGUGGUCCUUGUUGCCAGGGAGUCUCAAAUUGAGGCAGAGAGACUGACAGACUCAAAGUAUUAAAGAACUGAGACUCUUUAUUUGGAAGUAAUGAGGGAUUCCAAAAAUAGCCUUAGCGGUGCUUAACAGAUUGGAAAGACCAAAGGAACUGAAGCCAAAGAAGAUUGAGAGAGUUAAUAUGAAAUGGAAAAUUAAAAGGAGCGGGUAGUCCAGAAACAUGAAAAGAGCUGGAUGACAGCUACAUGAUCAAGGAGAAAACAGAAGAACUAGAGAAGGCACAGAAUCCAGGAUAAAUUGAUAUAGAGGCCAAGAAAGUUCGUCUUCCUUUUAGUACUAUUAUGUUCUGUAUUUCACAGAUAAAAACAUAUUCAGAAAUAUUCCUAAAGCUACCCAACUGGGAAGAAAAUCCCAAGGAACACUGUCUCAUUGCUCUGUGAUCAAGUACAAGCUCAAGAUUGGAUUAGUUAGGACUGGGAUUCCCCAUCACACCCUGUAGAUGAUGGUGACUAUUAAAGAAACGAUCUCGGCAGGGGUUUCUUCUCGCAAAAAAGAACAUGAUGGGAGCCUUUAGUUUGCAUACAUUCUACAUGAUGUACAUCUUAACCAAUUCUUACUGAAGGUCAGGAAUUUGGGGAAGACAUUAAUGCCAUUUUCACCACUGAAGGAAAGGUGAAUGACUGUGGCCAGUCACUGCUCCUGGUUUUUGUGACUCUGACAUUAUAUGAAAGGAGUUUGGGGAAAUGAAAUGGAAUAAAAGGGCCUCAGUUGAAUACAUGGUUCCACAGCCUACCACCCCGUCUGGGUCACGUUGGCAGUGCUGGGGGGAGCCCGGCCCAUCAGGGUGCUGUGCUGACAUUGGAUGCUUCCCAUGGUGGACUGGACUUCGAAGCCUGAGGCAGAGUGGCAGAAAGGAGACUGAAUAACUGCCACAGAGGCAGGCUGGGAACGUGGGCCAGGAGGGGAUCUCGGGAAAGAAUCCAAUGAAAUUAGUGAAUGGGUAGUGAAUGGCUUGCACUCAGCCAAGCUGGAUGCUAGGUACUAUCGCAGUUCAUAGGAUCAUUACGGCAACUGUCUGUGAUAGCAAUAGAAAUAUAACCCCUGGCGCAAAGUGGUUGCUCAACAAUUUUAUUUUUUGAAUAAAAGCAAAAAAAAAAAAAAAAAAAAAGAAGCCCAACAAAACCCAAAAAACUCCCCAAAACUGUUCAGCUGGGUGAUGAUAUUGUCCUUCCUUUUCAAAUGAGA